AAAAACAUUGCCUCUCGACUCAACAAUGAGAGGUUCAUCCUGCCCAAUGACAACAUAGUUCAAUGGCCGCGGUACCCUGACCGUGCAAAGGUAGCAUAAUCACUUGCCCCUUAAUUAGGGGCUGGCAUGAAAGGACACACGAAAGCUUCCCUGUCUCACAAUAACAAAUAAAAAUUAAUCUUCAAGUGAAAAAGCUUGAAUGAAACUGUAGGACAAGAAGACCCCGUUGAGCUUUAUUCUCUAUAGACUAAACCAAAUAUUAAAUACAUCAUAAACCUAAAAAGAAUUUAGUUGGGGUGACUAAGGAACACCGAAAACUUCCUUUUAUUAGUUAGGACCAUUCUCCAUACAAAUUGACCCAUUACACAUGAUCAAAAAAAUAAGCUACCACAGGGAUAACAGGCUAAUCUUUCUCAAGAGCCCAAAUUGUCAGAAAGGAUUGGCACCUCGAUGUUGGCUUAGGGGCCCCUAAUGGUGCAGAAGCCAUAAAUGGUAGGUUUGUUCAACCUUUAAAACCCUAC
rnacentral:rRNA from 1 species